UACGGAGGGUGCGAGCGUUACCCGGAUUUACUGGGCGUAAAGGGCGUGUAGGCGGUCUUUCAAGUCCGAUGCUAAAGUCUGGGGCUCAACCCCAGGACUGCGUUGGAUACUGUGAGGCUAGACGGUCGGAGGGGGUAGCGGAAUUUCCGGAGUAGCGGUGAAAUGCGCAGAUACCGGAAGGAACGCCAAUAGCGAAGGCAGCUACCUGGACGACUUGUGACGCUGAGGAGCGAAAGCGUGGGGAGCAAACCGG
rnacentral:rRNA from 1 species